GGGGCUGUCGGCUAGCUUGGUCUAGGCUUGGAGACUUGGGCUCUCUAGACCCCGGUUCAAAUCCGGGCAGCCCCACCA
rnacentral:tRNA from 1 species